AGACUUGGGUUCAGUGUCUUUCAAGUACUGACAAGCAGCACUGACUUCUUGUUAUUUAUUGACAGAGAAGCCUAGUGACCAUUAGUCAUGCCUUUGCACAAAUUUAAGUCACCUUGUUUUAAUCAUUAAUAAAGCAGGACUGAAUGUCUACCAGUGAAAGAUGAUAGCUUCAGUCUUGAGCUCGAACACAUGUUAAUUGAGAAAAUGGCUACAUAUUGAUAGGAAAAAAGCACUAAAAUAUGAUCUUAAUUGAAUAGGUACAAACAUUAUACCUGGUAGCUUGCUAUCUGGAUUCUCACCAUCUGCCCGACAUAAACCAUCAUCCAAAAAGAGAUAAUGGUGAUGGCUUCCAUCUCAUGCAGAAAUUGGAGAGACUCUUGGAAUAAGGAAGGACUGGUAGCAGGAUGGGUACUGUUUGGAGAGCAAGAGGACCAUGAUGAGGUGGAGUUAGGAUCCUGGGAGUAAACAGAGUGUAAAUAAAAACUUCUGAAGGCUGAAACCUCCACCAAGUGCAUCAAACAUCUUUGAUUAGUUCUGUGGUUUUGUGCAUGGAUACUACUCUGCAGUGUAAUCGCAUUUUUCUCACUGAAACUCAAUUCUGUUCCUUAUUUUAAUAACCAAAGCAGAUAAAAAAUUAAUAAAACUAGCACUAUCUUACUGAACCUUCAUUACUCAUCUGUCUUUUCAAAUAUUUAAUGGAUAGACCAGAUGUCUGUAUUAUAUUCAUUCCAUCAAAAGAUUAGUCAAACUUUAUACAUUUCAGUUUGUAUGUGACUGUUUUGGUCUUUUCUCUUUUUAACAGUAUUUUCUUUCAAUCUGCACUUAUCUAUGAAUAUCUAAAAAUUUUUCUGUGAUGAAGAAUUGUUUGUUUCCUAUUGUUAUUCAUUGUUGUGCAGUUCAGUUUAGAGGUAAUACAAUUUAGAUUGGCACAUCUCUUUCUUUUCUCUUCUACUCAUUAGCAGGGAGUCUUUAAUCUCUUCUCUCUCAGCUUUCCCUAAUAAUCACAAUAUCUCACUUUCCCAGUGGGAUUCGGUCUAAGAUUGAGUAGAAAAUUAGACUCACAUCAGGCAGGCUGAGCUUAUAAUAAUGCUGAAGAAGUAAUAUAACAUAAAAAAUGAAACAUUUCUGUUCUACAUAUGGUCUUAAUUAUUGUAACUUUUAGAGUGUAAUUCCAAAAAAAUAAAAAUUAAAAAAAAAAAAAAAUGACUAAUGAAUUGAACUGAGGUGGAAAAAUUUCCUUUAUCUUUUAAAAUAAAAACAUUCUAGACCAAACAUUCUUUUUAAAAUCUACAGUGUUUAAAGUGUAGUUGUAACUGUACAUUGAAUAAGAAUUUGAGUCCCUCUUAUUAAUGUAUAGUUUUUUUUUUCCUAUGAAUCUUUCUAUUUGUAUGUAGAUCACCUUGGAAAAACAAAAAAUAAAAAAAUAAAUUAAAAUUGAUGCUUGCUGAGUACUGUACUUACUUAUUUGAUCACAAAGCUGAUCACCAAAGAUGAUAUAGAAAUCUGUUUUUAUUUGUUUAUUUUUACUUGUAUUAUCUUGAUUUUGUUGGUUAGUGAGUAUGAUUACAAACCUGCAGCUACAAAUGGAGUAUUUUCUUUGAAGUAUGAUCAAAUGUAUUUCUUUGUAUCUGUUUAUUUUCUAGAAUAUAAUCUUAAUUUAUCUGCAGAUCAAAUAAAACUUUGAAAUUAAAGCAUAUUUUU
ensembl:lncRNA